ensembl:lncRNA
CAUCUCUUCUGUUUUCUCGUCAGGUUCAAACACUUGAAUCUGCUGCUUCUGCUCAGCCUUUUCAAUCACAGCGGAUCCAUCACUCGAUCUGUGAAAGGAAUAAAAGGAGGCGACGCCACCCUGUCAUGUGAAUUUAAAGACACUCAUUAUCUUGAUUUGAGCAGGUUAACAAGCAUCCUUUCUUGUCAGAAUGAAGAAUGUGAGAGUGAAAGUGAAAGUCAGAAUGGACGAGUGUUUAAAACAGGAUCAUGUGCCGUGAUUAUCAAGAAUCUGAGACUGAGUGAUGCUGGGAAAUACAUUUUAACAGUCUAUUACACUAAUACUCAGGCAGAAGUGAAGCGUCAAAUCAGGACAUACCGACUUCAUUUUCACGAUGAGGUUUCAGUGAAGAAAGGAGAGGAGCUGAAGUUAGAUGUUCUGUUGCCCAAUGCUAAUAAAGUAGUGCACUGGACCAGAAGAAGCACAGGACCGAAGGAGGACUGGAGCAGAAGCCAUGGGCUCAGAAGUGAUCGAAUGAGCAUCAGAGAUAGAAACCUGAUCAUUAGUAACUUUACAGCCAGAGACACAGGAACAUAUGAGGUUCUGGACACUGAAGGAGAAAUCCUGAUCAUGGUGACAGUCACAGAAUCAGAGGACAAGAGGAACCUCAUGAAUGAUGACAAACAGCAGCGUACUCCCUCUCUUCUACCUGAAGCGUACUGGAUCGUCCCAGUUGAACUCUUAGUGUUUUUGGUGAUUCUGGUUGCUUUGAAAGGAAAAAGGAUGCACAGAUGUCCAGGAGCACAACUGCACGUUUGCUGAAGGGCAUGCCUAUAUACUUGACUAGACGAAUGCAGCUAAUGUUAAUUAAUUUUGGACAAGAUUGAAGUCACCUCUGUGAUUUCUGUGCUCAAAACGGAAUUGAAAUGUUGAAGCUGCUGCUAACUCACUUUUUAUCGACAGAAAUCCUCCUCAGUUUAUCAAGAAUAGACUAAUGGACACAUACAAUACUGCAGGUUAGGUUUCUUCACAUUCAUCUAAAGCAGUGAUGAUGACAGUAAUUCUAGCUCCUUGAUUUUUAAGAGUGUAAAGGGAAUAAAUAUGGGACCGAACAUAUAUUUCAUUGCUUUCUCUCAGAGUUAUAUCAUUGGCUAAUCAUGUCCCUUUAGUGGCUCAGUUAUAUAUUUAAUGGUGCGUAUUUAUUAAUCACCUCUUAUCAUAUUUUAAUUAUUCUCAGGUUAGCUAAAGUCAGAUCUUUCUUAUAUCACAAGCAUCUGAGUUUUCUUAGGUCACAGAAGUCUUCAUCUGUUUGGCUCAAGUUUAGAAAUCAGAGACUUUUGGCAGACAAGCUUCUUGGUUUUAAUUGCAUAUCAUUUUACUGACUACUUCUCAUACAAAAUACUAGAAUAAACCAAAGCAAAUAGUUUACAAGCUUAGUUUGUCAGCGGUAUCAAACAGCAAAGCAUCUAGCAGCGCCAGAGAAUCAGCUUCUGACAUAAUCAUCUCAUUUCAGUCGUUUAUGAAGUCAAGUUUGUUUGUAUAGCGCUUUUUACUUUAUAAAUCAUUGCAAAGCAACUUUACAGAAAAUUCAUGUUUCUAUAAUAUUUAAAGUCAUUACAGUUAAAUGUCAUGAUGACAGAAAUGUAUGGAAAAAUCAAUUAAAGACGAUAAAUACUAUGAACAGCAAUGUUGCAAUCCAACUUAUAGCAAAUAUAUUCUUAAUAAAACAGCAAGUGUAAUUACAUCAGAUAAUUCCAGCAAACAUAAGCAAAAACUGAACUGCUAUAAUCACUAUAUACGUGAAAAAUACAAUAAUCACAAAACCAAAAUGAACAUUUUCUACCCAGCUCCAAUGCUCUGGAGCAGAACGGUGGGGAUCUAGAAAGAAAGCACAAAUUUUACAUUUUUAAAAUGAUUGUUCAUGUUUUUUAGAGCUUCUUACUUUACUGUUCUUCUGUCUUACCUGUGUUUUCUCCCGCUGAGCCAGAUAGAUAUGACGAAAUAUGAACAAGAUUUGAAAACAUUAGUUAGUUUAACAAAUCAAAUCCCAAACUCAAGAUGUUAGAAAUAUUUCUAAACACCCGCUCACCUGUGAUUGUGACUGUGAUCAAGAUUUCUCCUUCAGUGUCCAGAACUCUGUAUGUUCCUGCAUCACUGUCCAGAAAUGAUUUAAUGGUCAGGUUUCCAUCAUUAUCAUCAUUCAUUCGGUCGCUCUGAACCCCGUGAUCUCUCGUCCAAACCUCCUUCCACUCUCCACUAGAGUUUGUCUUCACUUUAUCAGCAUCAGACACCAGAACAGACAUCUUUAGCUCCUCGCCUGUUUUCACAGAAAUCUCAUCUGAGGAGAAACAGAAAGACAUUAAUCAUUAUUAUAAUGCUGUCAAUCAAUCAAGACCAUAAACACAGAUUUAUGAUUGGUGACCAGAUGUAAUCAUUUAAAGAAGCAGAUGCUGGUGUUUGAUCAGUUUAGUCUUCACCAUGAAUAUGAAGUUGGUACUUCAGCUCUGUCUGAUCAUUAUUGUAAUAGAUUCUCAAAGUGUAUUUCCCAGCGUCACUGAAGAUCAGAUUCUUGAUGACGACGUCACAGUUUCCUUCUUUAAACACUCGUCCACUACAUUCUUCAGUCUCACACACAGAUAUGAUUUCGGACCGAGUGAUUAAAUCAAUGUGAACAAUAUUACUGUCCUCAUGUUCACAUCUGAGUGUGACGCUGCCUCUCUUUUUUCCCGACACAGAUAUAAAGGGGUUUCCUGCUGGCAGGAUUUCUGCAAAAACAGAUUCAUUCAAUUCAAAGAAUCAAUACAUGUGAAAAAUGCAUGCAGUGUUUCUGUUGAUUCUCUAUAAUUAAUGUUAUCAUAUUCUAGUGGUUAUUUUAUUCAGUUUUAUUUUACUCAGCUUUUAUUUUCAAGACGUUUCACCACACAUUCGAGUGGAUUCAACAACUGUGAACUGAUUGUGGCAUUUCUCCAAUAUUUAGCAUCAGAAAUUGUAAUGAUAAUAUUAAACUUUAAGGUUGUUGGUGAUCUUUUGCUCAUGAAAACAUGAGAUUGUGUUUGAAUGGCAGCUGAUUAUUCUCACAUUCUGCAGAGUUCAGAAACGAUUCAUCUUAUGAAGUGUGAAUAUUGUAAUAUGCUGUGAAAUCAAUCCUAGUAUCAGCUAUAAACUCAAAUGAGCAGAUUCUGGGUUGUGUUAUAGACUAUAUGACUAACCUACGAUUAACCAGUAGUGCAACAUUCAUAUGAAUGAACUGUACACAUGAGAAUCACCUUUGUAGCCAUCUAGUGUCCUUGCAGAUGCUCUACAUGCUCAUACAGAUAGUUAUCCUAAAAUACAUCCUUUAAAGGGAUCAUUGCCUCAUCCUCAAAUCAUUUAAAACCUUUGUGAGUUUCUUUCUUCUGAUAAACACAGAAAAAUGUAUAACAGUUACAAUGAAUUAAUUUAGCUAUGCUAAAAGUAACAUUCAAUAGUGUUAAAUAGAUUAAAAUAUUUGCUGGAUAUUGUUACUAGUUAACCAUUUAGGGUUUAGUCAAUUUUUAGUUUAGUUUUUAGUUUACUUCCUGAGUUGGAAGAAUCAUCAACAGAAAUCAUUGGAUGAGUGAUGUGAUAAACAAUUGACUAGAUUUAAUAACUAUCUAACACUGAAAAAAGUUUCAGUCCAUUAAAAAACAAAUGACACUGACCGCUUUGAUAGAAGAAACAAAACAUCAGCAGAAGAAGAAGAUUCAAGCAUUUGGACCUGAUGAAAAUAGAAGGCUGUUAUGAGACAGAGACAUACGCCACAAAAGAUAAAAUACUUUACUCGGCUUCUGAUUAGAACAUUAUAAUAAGAAUAAGAAUAAGAAACAAAUCUGAAUCUUAGUUUUAUUAAUGAUGCCAGUGUAAUCCUCAAGAAGACUGAUCCGUCAAACACAAAUGUCCAAUGGACACAAAACUUUAUAAAUUUAUAAAAAGCAUCUAAACUUACAUGGUGAAACUUCUGCAUGAGUCUUUUGAACACCAAACUGAAUCCUCUUCUGAAUCCUCUGAAAACACACAUUAAACUAUGACAAAAUACCCCUCUGGACAAUCAUUCAGGUAAACACAGACAGUUGUGUCAAGUGAAUGAAAACAGCUGAGAAAGAAAUGUGUUGUGUAUCUAUCAGAUCCGAGCAUCAGGUCUUAAAGAGACAGCGCUCUAUAAAUACUGCUGCUGUCAUUAAAGAUCAUCAAACUACAAAACAGCUGCGAUAAAAGAAAACGUAAUGUGAUCCGAACCGUGAGAUUUGUGAUCCUUGAACCACUAAUUAAAAAAUAGGCAGAGAAGAUUUUACCUGAGUCUUUUGUUUUGCAAACCAGCAGGUUUUGCAGGAUUAAAACAAAACUGAAAGUAACUUUGGUGAACAUGGGAUAUUUAGAGCCUCCUACUAACGAAUAGUGUGAUGAUCAUUAGUGGCUGUUCUGUUAAAACACAUUGAGCCGUCAGAAAAUGAUUCUGAUUCGACAUGAUUUUGUGAUUUAUUUGUUGAAUAAUUUGCAUAUGAAUGUA